GUACGGGGUGGAGUAAAAUUGGUUAACUCAUUAGGCUCAUGACCUGAAACUACAGGUUCGAAUCCUGUCCCCGUCA
rnacentral:tRNA from 1 species